rnacentral:rRNA from 1 species
GAUGAACGCUGGCGGCGUGCCUAAUACAUGCAAGUCGAGCGAAUGGAUUAAGAGCUUGCUCUUAUGAAGUUAGCGGCGGACGGGUGAGUAACACGUGGGUAACCUGCCCAUAAGACUGGGAUAACUCCGGGAAACCGGGGCUAAUACCGGAUAACAUUUUGAACCGCAUGGUUCGAAAUUGAAAGGCGGCUUCGGCUGUCACUUAUGGAUGGACCCGCGUCGCAUUAGCUAGUUGGUGAGGUAACGGCUCACAAAGGCAACGAUGCGUAGCCGACCUGGGAGGGGGAGCGGCCACACUAGGACUGAGACACGGCCCAGACUCCUACGGGAGGCAGCAGUAGGGAAUCUUCCGCAAUGGACGAAAGUCUGACGGAGCAACGCCGCGUGAGUGAUGAAGGCUUUCGGGUCGUAAAACUCUGUUGUUAGGGAAGAACAAGUGCUAGUUGAAUAAGCUGGCACCUUGACGGUACCUAACCAGAAAGCCACGGCUAACUACGUGCCAGCAGCCGCAGUAA